UACGUAGGGUGCGAGCGUUGUCCGGAAUUAUUGGGCGUAAAGGGCUCGUAGGCGGUUUGUCGCGUCGGGAGUGAAAUCCACUGGCUUAACUGGUGGCUUGCUUUCGAUACGGGCAGACUGGAGGUAUGCAGGGGAGAACGGAAUUCCUGGUGUAGCGGUGAAAUGCGCAGAUAUCAGGAGGAACACCAAUAGCGAAGGCAGCUCGCUGGGACGUUACUGACACUGAGGCACGAAAGCGUGGGGAUCAAACAGG
rnacentral:rRNA from 1 species